AGAGUUUGAUCCUGGCUCAGGAUGAACGCUAGCGGCAGGCCUAACACAUGCAAGUCGAGGGGCAGCAUUUGGGUAGUAAUAUCUGAGAUGGCGACCGGCGCACGGGUGCGUAACGCGUAUGUAACCUACCUUAAACAGGGGGAUAACACUGAGAAAUCGGUACUAAUACCCCAUAAUACUAUUGGAGGCAUCUCCGAUAGUUGAAAGUUCCGGCGGUUUAAGAUGGACAUGCGUUGUAUUAGCUAGUUGGUGAGGUAACGGCUCACCAAGGCAACGAUACAUAGGGGGACUGAGAGGUUAACCCCCCACAUUGGUACUGAGACACGGACCAAACUCCUACGGGAGGCAGCAGUGAGGAAUAUUGGUCAAUGGACGCAAGUCUGAACCAGCCAUGCCGCGUGCAGGAUGACGGCUCUAUGAGUUGUAAACUGCUUUUGUACGAGGGUAAUAUCAGAUACGUGUAUCUGCUUGAAAGUAUCGUACGAAUAAGGAUCGGCUAACUCCGUGCCAGCAGCCGCGGUAAUACGGAGGAUCCAAGCGUUAUCCGGAUUUAUUGGGUUUAAAGGGUGCGUAGGCGGUUUUAUAAGUUAGAGGUGAAAAUUCGGGGCUCAACUCCGGACGUGCCUCUAAUACUGUAUGACUAGAGAAUAGAUGCGGUAGGCGGAAUGUAUGGUGUAGCGGUGAAAUGCGUAGAGAUCAUACAGAACACCGAUUGCGAAGGCAGCUUACCAAACUAUGUCUGACGUUGAGGCACGAAAGCGUGGGGAGCAAACAGGAUUAGAUACCCUGGUAGUCCACGCAGUAAACGAUGAUAGCUCGUUGUCGGCGAUACAUUGUCGGUGACUAAGAGAAAUCGUUAAGCUAUCCACCUGGGGAGUACGUUCGCAAGAAUGAAACUCAAAGGAAUUGACGGGGGCCCGCACAAGCGGAGGAACAUGUGGUUUAAUUCGAUGAUACGCGAGGAACCUUACCCGGGCUUGAAAGUUACUGACUAAUCUGGAAACAGGUUAUCCCUUCGGGGCAGGAAACUAGGUGCUGCAUGGUUGUCGUCAGCUCGUGCCGUGAGGUGUCGGGUUAAGUCCCAUAACGAGCGCAACCCUUGCUGUUAGUUGCCAUCAGGUCAAGCUGGGCACUCUAACGGGACUGCCGGUGCAAGCCGGAGGAAGGUGGGGAUGACGUCAAAUCAGCACGGCCCUUACGUCCGGGGCUACACACGUGUUACAAUGGUAGGUACAGAGGGCAGCUAGCCAGUGAUGGCAUGCGAAUCUCGAAAGCCUAUCUCAGUUCGGAUUGGAGGCUGAAACCCGCCUCCAUGAAGUUGGAUUCGCUAGUAAUCGCGCAUCAGCCAUGGCGCGGUGAAUACGUUCCCGGGCCUUGUACACACCGCCCGUCAAGCCAUGGGAGCCGGGGGUGCCUGAAGUUCGUUACCGCAAGGAUCGACCUAGGGCAAAACUGGUGACUGGGGCUAAGUCGUAACAAGGUAGCCGUACCGGAAGGUGCGGCUG
rnacentral:rRNA from 1 species